UACAGAGGUCUCAAGCGUUGUUCGGAUUCAUUGGGCGUAAAGGGUGCGUAGGCGGCGCGGUAAGUCGGGUGUGAAAUCUCGGGGCUUAACUCCGAAACUGCAUUCGAUACUGCCGUGCUUGAGGACUGGAGAGGAGGCUGGAAUUUACGGUGUAGCGGUGAAAUGCGUAGAUAUCGUAAGGAAGACCAGUGGCGAAGGCGGGUCUCUGGACAGUUCCUGACGCUGAGGCACGAAGGUCAGGGGAGCAAACGGG
rnacentral:rRNA from 1 species